AACGCGAAGAACCUUACCUAGGCUAGAAUGUGAGGGAAGAGAGGGUAAUUCCGAUCGUCUGGGAAACCAGACCCAAAACAAGGUGCUGCAUGGCUGUCGUCAGCUCGUGUCGUGAGAUGUUGGGUUAAGUCCCGCAACGAGCGCAACCCUUAUCAACAGUUGCCAUCAUUAAGUUGGGAACUCUGUUGAGACUGCCGUUGAUAAAACGGAGGAAGGUGGGGACGAUGUCAAGUCAUCAUGGCCUUUAUGCUUAGGGCUACACACGUGCUACAAUGGAUGGUACAAAACGUCGCAAUCCCGUGAGGGGGAGCUAAUCGCUAAAACCAUUCUCAGUUCGGAUUGAAGUCUGCAACUCGACUUCAUGAAGUUGGAAUCGCUAGUAAUCGCGGAUCAGAAUGCCGCGGUGAAUACGUUUCCCGGGUCUUGUACACACCG
rnacentral:rRNA from 1 species